rnacentral:lncRNA from 1 species
AUGUAGUGCUAUCAAGACCUAGUUUACUAAAUUAUAAUGUGACUCAAUUUUUGAUAAAAUUUGUCAUUGACAGGGAUAACGUACGUUGGAAUUUUCUGUUUACAAAAAUAUUAUAUGCAGAGAAGGACAAAGACCAGAACCUGUUAUUCGCAAUUAGAAGUCCAGCCAAUUGACAUGCAAGGGUUACGACAUAGAAAUCUCUUGCUAAGAAGAACAAGUUCCAAAGUCCCUGC